CAUUAUCGAGGGGGCUUUGCCUCCGUCAAGAUAACACCCCUUGCCUUUGAGUACCGUCUGUUUCCUCGGUAGGCUCGCCUGCCAAUGGGGACCACAACCAAACCUUUUUGUAAUGCAGUAAACGUCUGAUAAACAAAAAAUCAAAACUUUCAACAACGGAUCUCUUGGUUCUGGCAUCGAUGAAGAACGCAGCGAAAUGCGAUAAGUAGUGUGAAUUGCAGAAUUCAGUGAAUCAUCGAAUCUUUGAACGCACAUUGCGCCCUUUGGUAUUCCUUAGGGCAUGCCUGUUCGAGCGUCAUCUAACCCUUCAAGCACUGCUUGGUGUUGGGCGUUUGUCCCGCCUCGGGCGCGGACUCGCCUCAAAGACAUUGGCGGCCUGUGUAUUGGCUUCGAGCGCAGCAGACUCGCGCGUCGACUCCUCUUGCACUAGGUGUCCAGCAAGCCUACAAACCCCAAGUUUGACCUCGGAUCAGGUAGGGAUACCCGCUGAACUUAAGCAUAUCAAUAAGCGGAGGAAAAGAAACCAACAGGGAUUGCCCUAGUAACGGCGAGUGAAGCGGCAAGAGCUCAAAUUUGAAAUCUGGCUCCUUUGGAGUCCGAGUUGUAAUUUGUAGAGGGUGCUUUGGUGUUGUCUAUGGCCUAAGUUCCUUGGAACAGGACGUCUUAGAGGGUGAGAACCCCGUACGUGGCCGCUAGCCUUCACCGUGUAAAGCCCCUUCGACGAGUCGAGUUGUUUGGGAAUGCAGCUCUAAAUGGGAGGUAAAUUUCUUCUAAAGCUAAAUAUUGGCCAGAGACCGAUAGCGCACAAGUAGAGUGAUCGAAAGAUGAAAAGCACUUUGGAAAGAGAGUCAAAAAGCACGUGAAAUUGUUGAAAGGGAAGCGCUUGCAGCCAGACUUGCCCGUAGUCGCUCAUCCGAGCUCUUGCUCGGUGCACUCUUCUGCGGGCAGGCCAGCAUCAGUCCGGGCGGUCGGAUAAAGGCCCUAGGAAUGUAGCUCUCUUCGGGGAGUGUUAUAGCCUAGGGUGUCAUGCGACCAGCCUGGAC
rnacentral:sRNA from 2 species